GACGAACGCUGGCGGCGUGCCUAACACAUGCAAGUCGAACGGGGUCCAACCAGUGGCAACACUGGGGAAGACCUAGUGGCGAACGGGUGAGUAACACGUGAGGAACCUGCCCCGAAGACCGGGAUAAGCCGGGGAAACCUGGUCUAAUACCGGAUGUCCUCACCGAACCGCAUGAUUCGGUGAGGAAAUGGAUUCCGCUUCGGGAGGGCCUCGCGGCCUAUCAGCUUGUUGGUGGGGUAACGGCCCACCAAGGCUUCGACGGGUAGCUGGUCUGAGAGGACGAUCAGCCACACUGGAACUGAGACACGGCCCAGACUCCUACGGGAGGCAGCAGUGGGGAACCUUGCGCAAUGGGCGAAAGCCUGACGCAGCAACGCCGCGUGGGGGAUGAAGGCCCUCGGGUUGUAAACCCCUUUCAGCAGGGACGAAUUUGACGGUACCUGCAGAAGAAGCCCCGGCCAACUACGUGCCAGCAGCCGCGGUAACACGUAGGGGGCGAGCGUUGUCCGGAUUUAUUGGGCGUAAAGAGCUCGUAGGCGGCUCAGUAAGUCGGGUGUGAAACCUCCAGGCUCAACCUGGAGACGCCACCUGAUACUGCUGUGGCUGGAGUCCGGUAGGGGAGCGUGGAAUUCCUGGUGUAGCGGUGAAAUGCGCAGAUAUCAGGAGGAACACCAGCGGCGAAGGCGGCGCUCUGGGCCGGUACUGACGCUGAGGAGCGAAAGCGUGGGUAGCAAACAGGAUUAGAUACCCUGGUAGUCCACGCCGUAAACGUUGGGCACUAGGUGUGGGCCUCAACCAACGAGGUCCGUGCCGUCGCUAACGCAUUAAGUGCCC
rnacentral:rRNA from 1 species